UCUUUUUCCUUUCUACAUGUUCUCGAUCAUAUACAUAUACACCCAUUAUUUUCUUUAGUAUUCACCUAUUUUAUUCCAAAGCCCUGUCCCGUUUUAAGUAUUGUAACCCCUGUUCACUGAUACCCUGUCCUAUUGAUCUACGGCCCCGUAACGCAUGUCAAGGCUCUGCCCGACUAAGUUCGUUGGGGUUCUGUCUCGUGACAUAGGGAUAAAGUUGAAUUGGGUUACUUAAUGCAAGGUGCAUUAUAUAUUUUUUUAAACAGUCCAGGAGUUACACCCAAGAUAUAACACACAUCCUUAAAAUAUUUUAGACAACCCUAAAAGUUCCUAAAUACACCCUGCAUGCGAAAAAUAGGCCCGAAAUACAUUUAAAUUAAUAAAAUAAAAAUAAAAACAAUGUUUUAAGUCUGUCGCGGGGCGCGACAGACUAGACCUUCUCCAUCGCGGGCCGCGAGCGAAGAGGAUAGUGGCAGAACGCGGAGCCGCCACGUGGCAGGACACGCGUCGAACUCCUGGUUACUCGGCAACGCCGCCGCCGCCUUUUUGGCCCUUGCGGGGCACGACGGCCCCUCCUGUUUCCAUCGUGGGGCGCGACGGAGCUUCUGAACAGCCCUAUAGAUAGCGUCAAUCAGCCUUCAGACCAAUUCGUUCACAAUUCUCAAUCUCUCUCAAAUCUCUAUAGUGUAGGCGCUAUACCCAGGCAUUAUACCCCCUAAUAAGCAAAGCUCUGCCUCGUUGUAAGUAUUAUAACCCCGGUUACGUAUUAGACACGAUGCCCGAUUGAUCCAGGGUUCCGUAACGGCUGUCAAGGUUCUGCCCGACGUAGUCGUUGGAAUGCCAUCUCGGGGAGGGAAGUCACAAAGGAAAGACCUAAAAUAGCAAUGCGAGUAAUCUCCUUUUUGCAAAUUGUUUUUACAAAAUCUCACAUGAUUAAUUAUAUAUUAAACAGUUAUUGAGUAUUUGUAAGGAUACAAUUAUCGUCGUUAUAUUUGGGGUUUUGUAUACAAAAUUUGUUACGACCUUGCGAGGAGUAACAUGACCAUAAGUCGGAACGACAGUACCGUGGGUGGUAAUUGAUAUGACUUGGAAACAUAUGUAAUUGCACGACCACCCUCAGUACUGUACAAUGGUUUUUAUUUAACUUGAUUAAACUGAGAUUCACUCACCAGUAUUUCCCACUGACAAAAUGUUUUUAAAACGCGUUUCAGGUAACUUAGUGUGAAGCCAAUAAAAGCCAGCUGGAGAACACUGAAUGCUUAGAAAAGUGGCAAUAAAAGUUACCUAAUUAAAAAGGAGAAUUGUUUUCAGUAAUGAGGGUUAUUCCCUAUAAAUGUAUCAAAAUGAAAAAUCGGGUUUUGUCCCACUAAUAAAUAUAUUAUCAGAAAAACUUGGAUUUUGUCCCAUUUCUUUAAUAUAAAUAUUUUGGUGUUUAAAUCUGAUAACAUAUUUCCUAACUACGGUCCUGAUGAGCCAGGCACUUUCUGAGGUUCGAUACAUGGAUUAUUUCAUCCACUUCUAGAUCCUCAAGUGGUACUUGUAGAUUCUGCUCAGCCAGGCACUUUCUGAGGUUCAAUACAUGGAAAGUCGGGUGGGCGUUGCUAAGUUCCUCCGGUAGUUUGAGUCUGUAGGCCACCUUGCCAAUCCUUUCCAGAAUUUUAAAGGGUCCAACAUAUCGAUGCGCGAGUUUCCCUUUCUUGCCUAAACUGAUCACCCUCUUCCAAGGUGAAACCUUUAGGAGUACGUGAUCGCCAACGUCAAAUUCAAAGGGCUUGCGGCGUCUAUCGGCGUAACUUUUCUGACGACUCCGAGCUUUCAGCAGAUUGUCUCGAAUUUGGAGGAUUUUGUCAGUCAUUUCUUGCAGCAGCUCAGGACCGGUUAUUUGCGCAUCUCCAAUCUCAUGCGACACAAUCGGCGAUCGACAUUUUCUUCCGUAUAGUGCCUCAAAUGGUGCCAUUUUAAUGCUAGAAUGAUAACUGUUAUUGUACGAGAAUUCGACCAAAGGUAAGUGCGCAUCCCAAUUACCACCGAAAUCUAUGACACACGAGCGAAGCAUGUCUUCAAGGGUACGAAUCGUUCUUUCAGUCUGACCGUCGGUUUGGGGACGGAAAGCGGUACUUAGAUUAAGAGUAGUACCGAGAGAAGAUUGGAACAUUUCUCAAAGACGCGAGGUAAACCGACCAUCGCGGUCAGAGAUAAUAUCACGAGGCGUCCCAUGUCGACAGAUUAUCUCGUUGGUGUAGAUUCGGGCUAGUCGUUCUACCUUGUGGUCUUCUCGUAUCGGCAGAAAAUGAGCAAAUUUAGUCAAAUGGUCAACGAUAACCCAGAUGUUAUAGUGUCCUGAAGGUGUACGCGAAAGUUUUGUUAUAAAGUCCAUGGCUAUACUCUCCCAUUUCCACAUCGGGAUCUCGGGUUGCACGAGCAAGCUAGAGGGUCUUUGUUGUUCGACCUUGACUUUUGAAAAGUCAGGCACUUCGAAACAUAGAUUGUGAUAUCCUUCUUCAUUCCAGGCCACCAAUACCGUAGACGAAGGUCAUGGUACAUCUUGUCGGCACCAGGAUGAAUGGAAUCUCGGGACUUGUGCGCUUCAGUCAACAAUAUAUCUUGAAGGUUAUUGCGACUUGGAAUCCAGAUGCGAUCUAGAUAGUAAUAGAUACCGUUCGAUUUGGUGACAAACUGUGAUUCGGCACCACACUUUUUCAUUUCCUCUCGCAUGGUAUCUUCAACGAAGCAGGCGUGCUGAGCGUCACGAAUCAAGGCUUCGAGGUCGUGUUGGGCGUGAGUAUUACGAAUGCUACGCAAAUAGCUUUGUCUGCUUAGAGCAUCGGCCAUAACAUUUGCUUUGCCAGGGUGAUAACGAAUCUCACAGUCGUAAUCGUUGAGAAGUUCAACCCAUCGGUGUUGGCGCAUAUUCAGUUCCUUUUAAUUGAGGAUGUGUUGUAGGCUCUUAUGGUCGGUGAAGACCGUACACUUGGUACCGUAAAGGUAGUGUCGCCAAAUCUUCAACGCAAAAACAAUUGCUCCUAGCUCGAGGUCGUGGGUUGUAUAGUUCUUCUCGUGGAUCUUGAGCUGAAGAAAGGUGUACGCGAUGACCUUGUCCCGUUGCAUGAGAACACACCCGAGGCCAAGGUUCGAGGCAUCACAGUAGACAACAA
rnacentral:lncRNA from 1 species